AUUGAACGCUGGCGGCAGGCUUAACACAUGCAAGUCGAGCGGUAACAGAGAGUAGCUUGCUACUUUGCUGACGAGCGGCGGACGGGUGAGUAACGCGUAGAAAUCUGCCUGGUAGUGGGGGAUAGCCCAGAGAAAUUUGGAUUAAUACCGCAUACGCCCUACGGGGGAAAGCAGGGGACCUUCGGGCCUUGCGCUAUCAGAUGAGUCUGCGUCGGAUUAGCUAGUUGGUGGGGUAAUGGCUUACCAAGGCGACGAUCCGUAGCUGGUCUGAGAGGAUGAUCAGCCACACUGGGACUGAGACACGGCCCAG
rnacentral:rRNA from 1 species